rnacentral:rRNA from 1 species
CCCUUAGAUGUUCUGGGCUGCACGCGCGCUACACUGACGCACGCAACAGGUGCCUGCUCCGAGAGGACUGGGUAAUCAUUUGAGUGUGCGUCGUGAUGGGGACAGAAUAUUGUAAUUAUUACUCUUCAACGAGGAAUUCCUAGUAAGCGCAAGUCAGCAGCUUGCGCUGAUUACGUCCCUGCCCUUUGUACACACCGCCCGUCGCUCCUACCGAUGGGUGAUCCGGUGAAUGAUUCGGACUUCAGCGGCUCCUCUGGGGUGCGCCGGAGAAAGUUUUGUGAACCUUAUCACUUGGAGGAAGGAGAAGUCGUAACA